rnacentral:rRNA from 1 species
CGUAGGUGGCAAGCGUUGUCCGGAUUUAUUGGGUUUAAAGGGUGCGUAGGCGGUCCUAUAAGUCAGUUGUGAAAUACGGCAGCUUAACUGUCGAGGUGCAAUUGAUACUGCAGGACUUGAGUACAGACGAGGUAGGCGGAAUUGACGGUGUAGCGGUGAAAUGCUUAGAUAUCGUCAAGAACACCGAUAGCGAAGGCAGCUUACUAGACUGUAACUGACGCUGAUGCACGAAAGUGUGGGGAUCAAACAGGAUUAGAUACCCUGGUAGUCCACACUGUAAACGAUGAUUACUCGAUGUUGGCGAUACACAGCCAGCGUCUUAGCAAAAGCGAUAAGUAAUCCACCUGGGGAGUACGCCGGCAACGGUG